UCUUCAAAGCCACUGCUAUUAUCCUACAGCCAGUGAAAUGGAAUCAGAUAUACACACCUUUGUAUUCAGUGUAAAUCUGCUCGGUGAAUUUGUUAUUUGCUGAGGAAAGCAGGCAAAUAUAAAACAAGAACAAAUAUCUUCUGUCUGAUCAUCUCUCAUUCCUCUUAGCUAGAGCAGAGAUGAUAGGAAUUUUCCUGAGAGCAAAAUAAAUCAGUCAUCGCAUGGCUGUUGGCAUUCACAGCCAUCUGGCAAGGCAACUUCAGGACUGUGACGUCAGCUAGGUAUGUCAUAACCUGCACAGUGCCCUGCCUCUAGCGCUGCACAAGCUCCAAACAGACCAGUGAGAAGAGGUGACAAAGUCAAGUACGCAGAGUGAUGGGGCUCUCUCCCUUCACGAUCUCCAGGAGCAAGAGUGCAGUGCUGCUGGGCAAGACAUCACAUAGAAAAGGGCAUGAUUCUUCAGUGGGACUGACAAUUUAUCCUCAAGGACACAAAAAUAUUGCAGUGCUCCUUUAAAGGAUCACUCUGUUAAAGAGACAGAAAUUCCUUCUGAGGAGGAUGGCUCUUAUUCCUGGAUCAAAGUCCUCUUUAUGUGUAUUUUCACAUUCAGCAGUAGAAAAGAGUUUUAAAAAAACAUGACAGGCUGAAGUCAAACAACUUCACCUGGACAGACUACACUGAAGUCUAUUUGAGCAAAAGCACUCUGCUUGUACUCAGUGUGGAUGGAUCUAAAGUUUAAAGUCUCAUUUACGGUUUCCAGCUGACCUCACUGGUAAGGUCUUUCUGCAACUUGUUAUUAAAAACUUAUAAUAACAAUAUUUUGAUAGCCUUUAAAAUGCUUCCCUCUAGUACUACUAUCUUGGCCAUUUCCUCAGAGGAAACCUACUCAUUAUAGAAAUUUGCAAUAAUAUGGUGAAGAAAUACAGCAAUAUUGCUAAAAUCCAGAUUACUAGCUCAGAGACUUCCCCAGGGCCUCAGGCUGCUAUUUAAACUAAUUUUCAUGUAAACAGCACCAUGAAGAUACAAUACUACUUGUGGAGUAUUUUUUUUGACAGAGCGGAAGCUACC